GAUCUGCCCCCCACCAUUAUAUAUGUCAAAUCAUACAACUUUUUGUUUAAUUUAAACUUUAUUCAGUAAGCUUUCCUUGGUAAAAUAAUGCAUAAUUGUGUGAAUUUGCAAAAGGUUUUGAACUUGAAACAAACACUGGGGAAACAGAACAUGCACACCUAGAAUGACUGCUUCUUUGGUGUUAAAAACAUGCUAGAAGAGCUAGGUUUGAUAAUGACCUGGUUGGGUAGAGAUCCAGUGCUCAGUCCAAGUAACCUGAAGCACUAUAACAUAUAAAUAAACAGUACUGUGAAUAAAAAAGCAAAAAACAUGCUAGUAUUUGCAAGCUAUCAGUUGAAGCAUGACCGGAGUAGGGGUAAAAUUUUACAUAUACC